rnacentral:rRNA from 1 species
UACGGAGGGUGCAAGCGUUAUCCGGAUUCACUGGGUUUAAAGGGUGCGUAGGAGGGCAGGUAAGUCUGUGGUGAAAUCUCUGAGCUUAACUCGGAAACUGCCAUGGAUACUAUCUGUCUUGAAUAUGGUGGAGGUGAGCGGAAUAUGUCAUGUAGCGGUGAAAUGCUUAGAUAUGACAUAGAACACCGAUUGCGAAGGCAGCUCGCUACGCCUAUAUUGACUCUGAGGCACGAAAGCGUGGGGAGCAAACAGG